rnacentral:rRNA from 1 species
UGGGGGAUAUUGCACAAUGGGCGAAAGCCUGAUGCAGCGACGCCGCGUGGGGGAUGAAGGCUUUCGGGUUGUAAACCUCUUUCGCUAUCGAACAAGGCCCGCUUAGGGUGGGUUGAGGGUAGGUGGAGAAGAAGCGCCGGCUAACUACGUGCCAGCAGCCGCGGUAAUACGUAGGGCGCGAGCGUUGUCCGGAAUGAUUGGGCGUAAAGGGCUUGUAGGCGGCUUGUUGCGCCUGCUGUGAAAACGCGGGGCUUAACUUCGCGCGUGCAGUGGGUACGGGCAGGCUUGAGUGUGGUAGGGGUGACUGGAAUUCCAGGUGUAGCGGUGGAAUGCGCAGAUAUCUGGAGGAGCACCGAUGGCGAAGGCAGGUCACUGGGCCAUUACUGACGCUGAGGAGCGAAAGCAUGGGUAGCGAACAGG